rnacentral:misc_RNA from 1 species
UCCUAGUUUCCUAGGCAGUCCCAUCAGAGUGCCUUAAAAAGUUGCAACUGAUAGCAGGGGUUGCGCUCGUUAAAGGACUUAACCCAACGUCUCACGACACGAGCUGACGACAGCCAUGCAGCACCUGUGUAUUUGUUCAAGCAAGCUUGAAAAACCAUAUUUCUACAGCGGUCAAAUACAUGUCAAACCCAGGUAAGGUUCCUCGCGUAGUAUCGAAUUAAACCACAUGUUCCACCGCUUGUGCGGACCCCCGUCAAUUCCUUUGAGUUUUAAUCUUGCGACCGUACUCCCCAGGCGGAUCACUUAACGCGUUAGCUACGACACUGAUCUCGCAUAGCAAGACCAACGUCUAGUGAUCAUCGUUUACAGCGUGGACUAC